GACAGAGGGGGCAAGCGUUGCUCGGAAUUACUGGGCGUAAAGCGCGCGCAGGCGGCCCGGUAAGUCGGAUGUGAAAUCCCACGGCUCAACCGUGGAACUGCAUUCGAUACUGUCGGGCUAGAGGCAGGUAGGGGAGAUCGGAAUUCCCGGUGUAGCGGUGAAAUGCGCAGAUAUCGGGAGGAACACCGGUGGCGAAGGCGGAUCUCUGGGCCUGUCCUGACGCUCAGGCGCGAAAGCGUGGGGAGCGAACAGG
rnacentral:rRNA from 1 species